GAUGAACGCUGGCGGCGUGCUAAUACAUGCAAGUCGAACGCACAGCGAAAGGUGCUUGCACCUUUCAAGUGAGUGGCGAACGGGUGAGUAACACGUGGACAACCUGCCUCAAGGCUGGGGAUAACAUUUGGAAACAGAUGCUAAUACCGAAUAAAACUCAGUGUCGCAUGACACAAAGUUAAAAGGCGCUUUGGCGUCACCUAGAGAUGGAUCCGCGGUGCAUUAGUUAGUUGGUGGGGUAAAGGCCUACCAAGACGAUGAUGCAUAGCCGAGUUGAGAGACUGAUCGGCCACAUUGGGACUGAGACACGGCCCAAACUCCUACGGGAGGCUGCAGUAGGGAAUCUUCCACAAUGGGCGAAAGCCUGAUGGAGCAACGCCGCGUGUGUGAUGAAGGCUUUCGGGUCGUAAAGCACUGUUGUAUGGGAAGAACAGCUAGAAUAGGGAAUGAUUUUAGUUUGACGGUACCAUACCAGAAAGGGACGGCUAAAUACGUGCCAGCAGCCGCGGUAAUACGUAUGUCCCGAGCGUUAUCCGGAUUUAUUGGGCGUAAAGCGAGCGCAGACGGUUGAUUAAGUCUGAUGUGAAAGCCCGGAGCUCAACUCCGGAAUGGCAUUGGAAACUGGUUAACUUGAGUGCAGUAGAGGUAAGUGGAACUCCAUGUGUAGCGGUGGAAUGCGUAGAUAUAUGGAAGAACACCAGUGGCGAAGGCGGCUUACUAGACUGUAACUGACGUUGAGGCUCGAAAGUGUGGGUAGCAAACAGGAUUAGAUACCCUGGUAGUCCACACCGUAAACGAUGAACACUAGGUGUUAGGAGGUUUCCGCCUCUUAGUGCCGAAGCUAACGCAUUAAGUG
rnacentral:rRNA from 1 species